ACGGGAGGCAGCAGUGGGGAAUAUUGGACAAUGGGGGAAACCCUGAUCCAGCGACGCCGCGUGAGUGAAGAAGUAUUUCGGUAUGUAAAGCUCUAUCAGCAGGGAAGAUAAUGACGGUACCUGACUAAGAAGCCCCGGCUAACUACGUGCCAGCAGCCGCGGUAAUACGUAGGGGGCAAGCGUUAUCCGGAUUUACUGGGUGUAAAGGGAGCGUAGACGGAAGGCCAAGUCUGAUGUGAAAACCCAGGGCUCAACCCUGGGACUGCAUUGGAAACUGGUCAUCUAGAGUGCAGGAGGGGUAAGUGGAAUUCCCAGUGUAGCGGUGAAAUGCGUAGAUAUUGGGAGGAACACCGGAGGCGAAGGCGGCUCACUGGACGAUUACUGACGUUGAGGCUCGAAAGCGUGGGGAGCAAACAGGAUUAGAUACCCUGGUA
rnacentral:rRNA from 1 species